ensembl:lncRNA
AGCAGGUGCCCAAGUCCUGGCUAUAUACGUGACUGCUAUCAGUUGUGCGGGGACAACGACACCAUGCAGCAUCACGCAGUGCCCGCGUACUUCCUUGUGCCAUCACGGCCGCCCCCGUUUCAUUCGCCGCANCCUCUUUCUCCGCCGCCGACCGGCUCUCUCCACGAGGUCCGGCUUGCCGAGCCGACGCGCCUGCGCGCCCUGCUGCCCUGGCCAAGAAUGUCCAAAGUUGCACGCGAACCCGCCUGAGCCAGGCUACCCCUUACCGCGCCGUUCUCAUGGCAACCGAGCUCGAGCGAUAAACAAUUCCGCCGCGAACCUAUGAGAGGGAAGCACCUCUGCACGCGCGACACAGCUGGGGGUAAUUCGGGUCCGGCGCGCCACCAGCCGGUGCCGCCAGGGCGCAGUCCCCGCGGCAGGAGCGAAGCGGACAGAGUGGCAGCGGGAGGGCAGCGUGCCUGAACGGGAAGGGGGCUCUGCCGCGCCAUGGGCUGCUCCAGCAGCGCUCAGACUCAGGUCGUGGACGGCAGCCGACCGGCUCCGAAAUCCCCAGACGCCAAUGGACCUUUCGCGGGCGAUGACAGUAAUUUGCCUGUCACAAAUGAAAAUGAAAUUAUACCUGAACAGACCAAACUUGGGGCAAUAGAUGAAGUGGAGCUUGGCUCUCGUGAAACAAAACUGAGUGACAAUCUAGCCAAAGAUGAGGCAGAUGCUUUGAUUCCGGGAAUAACAGACUGUACCCUUUCCACCUCUCAAAGAGUUGAUCCUGAGGGCACAGAGCCUCAGCCAAUGACAUUAGAAGAGAAGUUCAACAGCACUGGGCCUUUGACUGCUGGCCUUCUAGAAGCUGGUGAACCUCAGCCUGUGAAACUCCCAGAAGACACAACUACUAUGCCUCAGCUUUCCACAGAANUUGACACUUCGCAGUCAGAAACUGUGCAGGACAGCGAACCUGAACCUCCUGAGUCAACAGAGGGGAGCACACCUGAGCCAGUAGCUGCGGAGAACUUGAGUCUUGUGACAGAAAUUGUGAGGGAAUUUUUAGUGGCUGAAGAUGAACAGCCAGUCACAGAAUCCAUUAAUAAUGAAGAAUGACUUAUGGCUGGACUUCCUGGACAACCUGGACUUCCUGGUAUCUCAGAUAGCAUCAGUACUCUAAUUCAAGAGAAUCUAGCUCUUGUAUAGACUUGCCACAACUUCUGAGCUAGAGGAAGAAGAGGGAGAACUUAUUUUGGGAGGUCAAGUUGCCAAGACAGCAAAUGAGGAGUUGCAAUAUUAAACCUUCAUGUAUGCCAUAGAGUGCCUUCUGCAAACUUUCCCUUCAGUGGAAUGAUGUAUUUAAAGAUGUUAACUUACCAGUUUAAUUUAUAAAAUUGAUACAUGUGAAGUACAAUCUAUUAAUUAGAUGAGUGCAUGUAGCAUUAGACUGUGCAGAUUCUCCCAUUCCAACAUUAGAUCUUAAGUGGGCUAUGAUGACUCUCACUAGGUUCUGGUAGUGAUUUUGCAGUUAUGAAAUUUUGCACCUUUACCAAUAGAAUUCUUUUGUACAGAUUCUCUUAUGUGUAAAUGGUUCAGGUAGGUUGGAACUUAAUGUUGCUGCUUUAGCACAAUCUGAAAAAAAAUACAUCAAUGCACAUUUUCUAAUGUGAAAUCUAAUGAAAAUCAUCAUACUCAACAUCCUUGAGGUUAGAAAUCAGCAUACAAUGAUGUCAUUCUGAAAUGAUGGGACAUACACCUGUUGAGAAUAACAUCUUCCCUAUUUAAAUAAGAAAUUACUGUUAUAGCAUAACACUAUGAUAUAUUGAAUUAUUAUUAGGAUAUGGUAGUAAAAUUGUUGAAAAUAAUUUGAUUUUUUUUUAUCAACCACAAUUAAGAUUCUAAUUGCCUGACACCAGAAUAUUCCUGACAGCCCAAGAAAUUAGUUUCAAAAAUCACAUCGGCUGUUGCUCAUAGUGCAGAAUUAUGUAUUUCUUGAAGAGUCAAGAUUUCUUCUNUUGUGCAUUUAUGAGAAUUCUGUUUUUAUUAAUCUGAUCUUUAUUUGAUACCAGAUAUGAAAACUGAAUCCUUCUGAUGUGUCUUUCAAAAGGAUGAGUAUUUUUUAAAAAGCAAGCAAAGAGAAGCUUAGUACAUGUUACCUAUGAUUCUAAAGGUUGCAUAGCUGGGGAAGNAGAUAUUGCGUAUCUUUUGACAACUUGUCUCUGAAGAAAAAAAAAACUUUGUUCAACAGCAAGAUAUGUUUGAUAUGGUUGUUUCUCAUACCUCUGUAUGCAAAAUCCAUACAAUGUACAGACUAAAAUAAAACUUUCAGAAUAUCUUUGAUCUGGCA